UACGAACUGUGCGAACGUUAUUCGGAAUCACUGGGCUUACAGGGUGCGUAGGCGGCCUUUCAAGUCAGGUGUGAAAGCCCUCGGCUCAACCGAGGAACUGCGCUUGAAACUGAAGGGCUCGAGUCAGCUAGAGGUGCACGGAACUUCCAGUGGAGCGGUGAAAUGUGUUGAUAUUGGAAGGAACACCGGAGGCGAAAGCGGUGCACUGGGGCUGGUCUGACGCUG
rnacentral:rRNA from 1 species